rnacentral:lncRNA from 1 species
GGACCGACCGCCGGCGCGCUACCACUCGCGACCUGCCGCCCGCGCUCGCCCACCCGACAUCCACUUACAGCUAAUACUACUGUCACUACCAAACUGCACCAACAUAAUACAUGAGAAUAUUAUUCUUAUGCAAAGUAUGCUAUAAGAAGUACAACUGCAGUGCUCCGUGCCGACUGCGUGGCCUGUGAAAAGUUGCGCGCGGGAAAACUUUCAGUGAAGUUAGCGUGUGUGAACAGGUGAUCAGUGUUGAUGCAUUGUGCACUUGUGCGCCUCUAGACCUCUGUAUUGUCUCCACCGGGGAAUACACCGCUUAUUGCUUCAUUAUACUAGAAGGCGGCCGCGCGUCGCAGCAGCAUGGGGCGGUGACGAGGUGUCCGCUGUUAGCUGACUACACAACCUGUACACUACAUGGACCAAUGUGGGAGCAGCGGCUGCAUAUUAUUCUA